rnacentral:misc_RNA from 1 species
UUCCAGUAGAAGCAUCAAUGGCUGUCAUGAUUACAAAAAAGUGUUUUUAUUUUAUUGCUUCUCUCCGUUGAACAGUUAGGGAUUCAUAAUCUCAAUACUCUUUAGGUAGGACCAAAUUGAUAUUUGAAAAACCUGGGCAUUUGAAGGCGCGCGGGAAUGGCAAACAGAUUUGCCUAUUUUCUGAACUAGGGCUUCGGAUGGAGUUGCUGACAGUCGGAGAACAUAAGAAGACGGCGGUGGCGGCGGAGGUAGAGAAGACG